GAGAGGCUAUGAAAGGAGGAAUAGGAAACAUUUUUGUUAGAAACAUUCAUGAGUAAUUUGGGACAAAAAAAAAGAAAUUGAGCAUUGAAACUUGUAAAAAGAGCAGAGAUGAAGGAGCAGUUUCAACAUGCAGAGAGCAUUCACCAUUUGCAGAAUGAGAUGAUUUCUAAGAGAUGCUGGUUUCUGCAUAUGUAUCAUCCUGCUUUUGAACUUGGCCUGUUGCUGAUCCCAGUCCAUAAAAGUCACAGCAAAAAGUUCAGAGGGGAAAAUUUGGCCUCACUUCUUCAGACAAUUUGUUAAGCCACA